UGGACAGGGAGGACAGGUGGUGCAUGGUUGUCGUCAGCUCGUGUCGUGAGAUGUGGUUAAGUCCGCAACGAGCGCAACCCCUACGUUUAGUUGCUAACAGGUGAAGCUGAGCACUCUAGACGAACUGCCGUUGACAAAACGGAGGAAGGUGGGGAUGACGUCAAAUCAUCAUGCCCCUUAUGUUCUGGGCUACACACGUGCUACAAUGGCCGGUACAGACGGAGGCGAAGCCGCGAGGCGGAGCAAAUCCGAAAAAGCCGGUCUCAGUUCGGAUUGCAGGCUGCAAUUCGCCUGCAUGAAGUCGGAAUCGCUAGUAAUCGCAGGUCAGCAUACUGCGGUGAAUACGUUCCCGGGCCUU
rnacentral:rRNA from 1 species